UGCGGUUGAGACCACCAUUUUGAGAGGCACUUGGCUGCAGGCAGGACCUCGUGAACAAUUUGGUCAAUAAGGUAACGAAGAUAUUACUUUUUCCAUAGUCCUUGAAGGACUUUGGGUAGCGCUUCCUUUCCUUCCUGUCAACCUCUCCAGAGGGGUGUCUGCUGAUGGCAGAAAGAUUACAUCACCUCUGGUUGGAACCCUGGACAGUGCCACAACCUUUGGCUUGGUGUCCAAUGUGAUGCCCCAUCGCCACCUUCUGACCUAACUUCUUCUCAGCUCUGUGACUACUUCAAGAGGGGCAUUCCUGUGUGGAGGCGUGCCAGGCAGCUCGUUUUACCUGUGAACUUGCGUGCUUUCACUUCAUCAACAACAAAGUGCUAUGCUUCAUGUGGAGAUGCAAGGACUGUGGGACAACAUUAACAAAAAGAUCUGAAUUGCUCAAACACUACAAACUGAUUCAUAGGCAUUACGGACGAGGCCACUCAUAUCCAUGCACUUAUUUAAAUUGUGCAUGUAGGUUCAAGACUUGGAACGCCCUACUGAGCCAUCUAUCAAGAAAUCACCCUGCCCAACAAGCAGUCUCCAAAGCUG